UACGGAGGGGGCUAGCGUUGUUCGGAAUUACUGGACGUAAAGCGCACGUAGGCGGCUUUGUAAGUUAGAGGUGAAAGCCCGGGGCUCAACUCCGGAAUUGCCUUUAAGACUGCAUCGCUAGAAUUGUGGAGAGGUAAGUGGAAUUCCGAGUGUAGAGGUGAAAUUCGUAGAUAUUCGGAAGAACACCAGUGGCGAAGGCGACUUACUGGACACAUAUUGACGCUGAGGUGCGAAAGCGUGGGGAGCAAACAGG
rnacentral:rRNA from 1 species